CAGUCGAGCGAACACUUAAGUCUGAUUCUUCGGAUGAAGACUUUUGUGACUGAGCGGCGGACGGGUGAGUAACGCGUGGGUAACCUGCCUCAUACAGGGGGAUAACAGUUAGAAAUGACUGCUAAUACCGCAUAAGACCACGGUACCGCAUGGUACAGUGGUAAAAACUCCGGUGGUAUGAGAUGGACCCGCGUCUGAUUAGGUAGUUGGUGGGGUAACGGCCUACCAAGCCGACGAUCAGUAGCCGACCUGAGAGGGUGACCGGCCACAUUGGGACUGAGACACGGCCCAGACCCCUACGGGAGGCAGCAGUGGGGAAUAUUGCACAAUGGAGGAAACUCUGAUGCAGCGACGCCGCGUGAAGGAUGAAGUAUUUCGGUAUGUAAACUUCUAUCAGCAGGGAAGAAAAUGACGGUACCUGACUAAGAAGCCCCGGCUAACUACGUGCCAGCAGCCGCGGUAAUACGUAGGGGGCAAGCGUUAUCCGGAUUUACUGGGUGUAAAGGGAGCGUAGACGGCACGGCAAGCCAGAUGUGAAAGCCCGGGGCUCAACCCCGGGACUGCAUUUGGAACUGCUGAGCUAGAGUGUCGGAGAGGCAAGUGGAAUUCCUAGUGUAGCGGUGAAAUGCGUAGAUAUUAGGAGGAACACCAGUGGCGAAGGCGGCUUGCUGGACGAUGACUGACGUUGAGGCUCGAAAGCGUGGGGAGCAAACAGGAUUAGAUACCCUGGUAGUCCACGCCGUANACGAUGACUGCUAGGUGUCGGGUGGNAAAGCCAUUCGGUGCCGCAGCUAACGCAAUAAGCAGU
rnacentral:rRNA from 1 species